UACGAAGGGGGCUAGCGUUGCUCGGAAUCACUGGGCGUAAAGCGCACGUAGGCGGUCUUUUAAGUCGGGGGUGAAAGCCUGUGGCUCAACCACAGAAUUGCCUUCGAUACUGUAGAGCUUGAGACCGGAAGAGGUUAGUGGAACUGCGAGUGUAGAGGUGAAAUUCGUAGAUAUUCGGAAGAACACCAGUGGCGAAGGCGACUUACUGGACACGUAUUGACGCUGAGGUGCGAAAGCGUGGGGAGCAAACAGG
rnacentral:rRNA from 1 species